GAGUUUGAUCAUGGCUCAGGACGAACGCUGGCGGCGUGCCUAACACAUGCAAGUCGAACGAUGAAACUUAACGGAUCCCUUCGGGGUGAAGCUAAGUGGAUUAGUGGCGGACGGGCGAGUAACGCGUGAGCAACCUGCCUUACACAAGGGGAUAGCCACUGGAAACGGUGAAUAAUACCCUAUGAAAUAACAAAUUCGCAUGAAUAAGUUAUCAAAGAAAUUCGGUGUAAGAUGGGCUCGCGUCUGAUUAGCUAGUUGGUGAGAUAAAAGCUCACCAAGGCAACGAUCAGUAACCGGCUUGAGAGAGUGAACGGUCGCACUGGAACUGAGAACGGUCCAGACUCCUACGGGAGGCAGCAGUGGGGGAUCUUGCACAAUGGAGGAAACUCUGAUGCAGCGACGCCGCGUGAACGAAGAAGGCCUUCGGGUUGUAAAGUUCUGUCCUAGAGGAUGAUAAUGACAGUACUCUAGGAGGAAGCCCCGGCUAAAUACGUGCCAGCAGCCGCGGUAAUACGUAUGGGGCGAGCGUUGUCCGGAAUCAUUGGGCGUAAAGGGUUCGUAGGCGGUUUAUUAAGUCGAGUGUGAAAGGUUGGGGCUCAACCCCAUAAAGCAUUCGAAACUGAUAAACUUGAGAUGUGGAGAGGAAGUGGAAUUCCUAGUGUAGCGGUGACAUGCGUAGAUAUUAGGAGGAAUACCAGUAGCGAAGGCGACUUUCUGGACACAAACUGACGCUAGGAACGAAAGCGUGGGGGAGCAAACAGGAUUAGAUACCCUGGUAGUCCACGCCGUAAACGAUGAAUGCUAGUGUCGGGGGUCAAACCUCGGUGCCGCCGCUAACGCAUUAAGCAUUCCGCCUGGGGAGUACGCGCGCAAGCGUGAAACUCAAGGAAUUGACGGGGACCCGC
rnacentral:rRNA from 2 species